rnacentral:tRNA from 1 species
GUUCCUGUCGUCCAAUGGAUAGGACACUAGCCUACGAAGCUUGGAAUUGAGGUUCGAGUCCUCACAGGAACA